rnacentral:lncRNA from 1 species
AUUAAAAACCCAAAAAAUAUUUGGGAAUAAUGAAUCGUAGCCGAGCUACUUGGCCGGCCCAUCUACAGAAUGCUGACUGCUUGCUCCGUGCGAUGCAGCGGCAUAUAGGAAAACCGCUCCAAAAAAAAAGGAAAUUUCAAACUUCCUUAGGGGAAGGGUGAUUAAUCGAACAAUUCCGCUCGUUAGGAUUUGUUUAAGGGUGUCACUUGGCUUAAUCGACUAAAGUAGAUGUUUGAAUACAAAUAAAUUCCAGGGGAUUUAGCAGCCACAUAUGGCGCCCCGCCUCGUGACAAAACAACUUGUAAUAUAAACCUGGCCAAGCAUAAUUUAUACUAACAUAUAUUUAGGUUACUUAGCGUGUGCAGUCACACCGUUUAUUUAAUGGAUCCUCUGUUCCAUCAGAUAGAACACGGAAUUAUUUGAAGGGUCGAAACCAAGAAUAUUAUCUUGCUUUGCAACAAAUUGUUGCAUUGUGGGAAUCGUGGCGUUUGUAACAAGCAAACCAUCGAAAUUAAGGCAUGUAACAAUGAAGAAACACUUUCGGAGCAUGAACCAAAUCAUUUGGAAUAAUCAUAGUGUCGCCAAUAAUCCUCGCAUACUAGUGUUGCGUGUAACUCGUAGCCAACAAACUACAGAGACUAAGACUCUGCCAAUAACAAAUAUCGUGAUAAAGAAGGAAGCCAAAAGCCCAGAUCAAAAUUAACUAGUACAAUUCGAUGUAGUGAUCCACACCGUCCAUACAAAUCUCCAAAUACUAGGAUAGAAACAACCAUGAUCAACUAUGAGCAUCUCUGACCGAGUAGAUCAUCGUGGGAUUGCACGGUGUUCGCAAUAGGAGCUUGUGAUCAGAAGCACAUGUCCAGCAGACAGCAGCAGCAAAUGGCAGCACAACUGCAGAUGAAAACGGACAACGGAUUAGAAGAAACCAGAAUAGAAAGCGAUGGGAACAUGGCAUGAUGAUGCAUGCACGUAUAUCCUGACGAUCGAGUGGCUUAUAUAUCACGGCUCAUAAAACUCAAUGACGUACCAUCCUUUCCAGAAGCCGUCGCCGCCGCGGUCCUGCGAAUCCUGCGGCGGGGCCUGCUGCUGCUGGUAGUUGGCGGCGACNGCAGCAAAUAGCAGCACAACUGCAGAUGAAAACGGACCACGUACGUCAGAUUAGAAGAAAUCAAAACAGAAAGCAGUGGGUAAUCUUGACGAUCGAGUAGCCGUACCAUCCUUUCCAGAAGCCGUCGCCGCUGUCCUCCGGUUCCGGCGGCGGGGCCUGCUGCUGCUGGUACUGGUAGUCGGCGGCGACAGGCGGCGGAGCGCCGUACCCUGGAGGAGGUGGGUAGGCCUCCUGCCCCGGCGGCGGGUACGCGGUGCCCGGUGGCGGGUAGCUCAUGGCCGACGCCGCGGUCUGAGUUCACAGAGACAGUAGAACCGCUGAAGCAGGAAGCUGGCAAGGCAGACUUGCUGAUGCCACAAGCCGCUCUCUGCUCUCGACUUUGUGAUGUUCUUCUAAUGGAGCAUUGCUCUUUAUAGCGACACCAAGAGGCAUACGCUCGUAGCACUCCUACUACUAUUUUCAGGAUUACUUAGGCGCGUAAUCCUAACACAUAUCCAGAUUUUCAAAGGGACGCCGGUCACAGGCGGUAGUGCAUCCAUGCACGGCGACGGCGGGUUUCAAUUGGUUUCUCGCCCUCCAAAACCGUCGUUGAAGGCGUCACUCGGAAGGAGAGACAUCG